CGUCAAAUGUGUCCCAAUUGUUUUUCACUAGUACAUGGUAUAGAUUGCUUCCCAGUUGAGGAAUGAUGACAUGAAUAAAAACCAAUAAAGGUGAAACCCUUUCUAAAUCUGCCCGAAAAAAAUCUGUUACCUGGUAUGCUAAACAUUGCUAAUUCUGAAAUUGAUGAUGGGUUGAACACAAAACGAAAGCUCUUAGAAAAAUUAUUGAGAUGCUGAUGGUGAUGCAGUCAACUCAAAUGAAUGGCGGUAAUAUUGGUCAUUGAUAAGUUUACUAUUACCAUAAGACGACACGAAUCAAUGCUUAACUUGCUUGCAAGAUCGUCGUUUGCAAAUCAGAUUCCAAAUUUGAAUUAUUAAAUCUUGUCCAAUACAACCUCAGUGAUAUAGCCUGGCUGAUUUACAAGAGUCCUCGCAGGCUAGAACUGCUGCCAGAAGAUGACAAAUUUGUUCCUGAAGGUUGAUAAAAAAAGAAAACGAGGACUACUCGACUGGACUAAGGCUGAAAGGGAAUGAUUGGAGGAACACUCAACUUCAACCACGGUGCUCGAAAACCGAACGUGAAUUAACCUUCUUGCGUAUUUAGCUUGUUUAGGUGUGAAACAUUUAAUGUUUUACAACCGAGGUGCAAUCUUGGAUCUUCACUCUGAUUUCAAAUUUAACCAGGAAAGCAUACUUGCCUGGUAAUUGAAGCCGAUUGAGCAAAAGCUGGUUUUUGCAAACUAUCAUAUCACAGCUUCAUGCUUGGGUGGCCCAUUUCUCUAAAAAGAGAAUUUUAAUGAAGCAGCCAAGCUCGUGAAGGAGAUAAAGGCAAGGAACAAUCUAUGAAGCAUAAUUCUCAUCAGUCUAGAUUGCAUCUUGCGGACUGUAAUGUCAUUCAGCUCUGGCAGUGCUUCGGUUAAGUGUUUGAAUUACUGUGCCAAGAAGACAUCGUAGGCGCAAAACUGAUUUUUGUGUUUACUCUGACUUCUGGAAUACAAGGCUAUGGUAAAUUAUUGAUGAACAAUCUUUGAUGUUGUCUCAUGAUUUGAAACACGGUAAAGCAUGACGAUGAUUCAACCUUUUGAAAGAGGAAGUUAUUUUUUGGGUGUGGGGUUCUUUUUCAGUCCCUUUUCCCAAUAUGCAACAACCUAAUGAAAGAUUAAGCUAAAGAAGAUCAAGUGAUAACAGCUGAAUUAACUGGAUCUAGUUAUCGUCCUUGCAAGAUUUCAGCGACGCUAAUGGAAGGAUCGGAGAAAUAUUGCAGAUAAUGCAGCAAUAGUACAUAUAGGCGGAGAAUGAUUCAUAAUUUCAUAUCCUCUACAACAUACUUUAUUAAUAUUAUUAUUAUUAUUAGGCAAAAUUAUAAGAAACUACCUAAUUUUUACCUCUUUUUGUAAAAAACUACUUUAUGUAAAAUUUUUUGCAAAAAACUAAAUUUCUUUGCAAAACACUACCUUAUAACGGUUUUUACCUUUUGACCGUUUAAUUUAACCGUUGACCGUCAUGUGACAGUCACGUGAUUCUAUAAACCCAAUCUUCUUCAUUUUAGCGUUUUUCAUUCAUUUCUUGCUGCUUGUUCAUUCGAAAAACUCCAUUAAAUUCCGACUUAACUCAUCUAAUUUUUCUUAAUUUGAUGUGAAAGUUUUGAGGAAUUUGUUUUAGAUUAUAGAGUAAUUUUAAAUAUGAACAAUGUAUGUUUAAAAAUGAUAAUUUUUAAUUGGGUAAGUUAUUUUUCACCUGAUUUCAAAUUUCCUUCUGAAAAGUUACUUUUUUUCUGAAAACAUGAAGGAAUGUGAAAGCUAGAACUGUUAAGAUGAACUAUGAAUUUUUUACUGCUUGUUGGCUCAGAAAUAUCUCAGUGUUAGAACCUGCAGAAUUCAAACUGAUGUGUAUUUAAAGUGUCAUGAAAUAUGCUUAGUGUUAUGAAGAAUUAUUUGAAUAUACCCAAAAAAGGCAAAAGAAAUUGGAGAGGUUGUAGAUUAACCGUUGUGAAAACGUAAUCUUGCAGUGGAGUUGAUGAACACGGGCAGUCAAAGGUCGAUGGGUGGAGGGGUUCAUGAUGUAUUGGAUUGUUUGAAGCGAAUGCACUCCGAGAAUCCUAACUUUUAUUUUGCAAUUCAGGGUGAUCAUGAUCCUUCCAUUGCCAAUAUUUUCUGGGCUGAUGCAGCUUCCCGGAUUAACUAUACCUAUUUUGGUGAUACUGUCGUUUUUGAUACCUCAUUCCGUAGUAAUGGUUAUAAAGUUCCAUUUGCGACAUUUACCGGAAUAAAUCAUCAUGGGCGCCAGUAGCCCAGUACUUUUUGGGUGUUCUUUGCUGCUUAAUGAAUCAGAGGCUGCCUACAUUUGGCUGUUCCAAACAUGGCUUCAUGCAAUGUCGGGGAGAACCCCAGUCUCAAUCACAACAGAGCCGGAUGGAUUUGUGCAGAAGGCGGUAUCUGAGGUCUUGCCUAAUAGUAAUACACGGCUUUGUUAUUGCAAAUGGGGCAUGUUCAGAGAGACUCAGAACCGUUUGGGUCAUGUUUAUCAAUCACAUCCUACAUUUGAGGCGGAAUUCAAGAAGUGUAUAAUGGGAGUGACCGAGUGAGACAAUUGGGGAAUUUGAAUCUCGAUGGAGGAUGCUACAGGAAUGAGUUUUUCGAAUGAACAAGCAGCAAGAAAUGAAUGAAAAACGCUGAAAUGAAGAAGAAUAUUGGGUUUAUAGAAUUACGUGACUGUCAUUUGAUGGUCAACGGUUAAAUUAAACGGUCAAAGGGUAAAAAUCAUUAUAAGGUAAUGUUUUGCAAAGAAAUAUAUUAUAUAAGGUAGUUUUUUGCAAAAAAUUUUACAUAAGGUAGUUUUUAACA